UGCAGUCGAGCGAAUGGAUUGAGAGCUUGCUCUCAUGAAGUUAGCGGCGGACGGGUGAGUAACACGUGGGUAACCUGCCCAUAAGACUGGGAUAACUCCGGGAAACCGGGGCUAAUACCGGAUAAUAUUUUGAACUGCAUGGUUCGAAAUUGAAAGGCGGCUUCGGCUGUCACUUAUGGAUGGACCCGCGUCGCAUUAGCUAGUUGGUGAGGUAACGGCUCACCAAGGCAACGAUGCGUAGCCGACCUGAGAGGGUGAUCGGCCACACUGGGACUGAGACACGGCCCAGACUCCUACGGGAGGCAGCAGUAGGGAAUCUUCCGCAAUGGACGAAAGUCUGACGGAGCAACGCCGCGUGAGUGAUGAAGGCUUUCGGGUCGUAAAACUCUGUUGUUAGGGAAGAACAAGUGCUAGUUGAAUAAGCUGGCACCUUGACGGUACCUAACCAGAAAGCCACGGCUAACUACGUGCCAGCAGCCGCGGUAAUACGUAGGUGGCAAGCGUUAUCCGGAAUUAUUGGGCGUAAAGCGCGCGCAGGUGGUUUCUUAAGUCUGAUGUGAAAGCCCACGGCUCAACCGUGGAGGGUCAUUGGAAACUGGGAGACUUGAGUGCAGAAGAGGAAAGUGGAAUUCCAUGUGUAGCGGUGAAAUGCGUAGAGAUAUGGAGGAACACCAGUGGCGAAGGCGACUUUCUGGUCUGUAACUGACACUGAGGCGCGAAAGCGUGGGGA
rnacentral:rRNA from 1 species